rnacentral:rRNA from 1 species
UACAGAGGGUGCAAGCGUUAAUCGGAAUUACUGGGCGUAAAGCGCACGUAGGCGGUCUAAUAAGUUGGAAGUGAAAGCCCGGGGCUUAACCUCGGAAUUGCUUUCAAAACUGUUAGACUAGAGUUUGGUAGGGGGUGAUGGAAUUCCUAGUGUAGAGGUGAAAUUCUUAGAUAUUAGGAGGAACACCGGUGGCGAAGGCGAUCACCUGGCCCAAUACUGACGCUGAGGCGCGAAAGCGUGGGGAGCAAACAGG